UACAUGCAAGUCGAACGCGUUGGCCCAAUUGAUUGAUGGUGCUUGCACCUGAUUGAUUUUGGUCGCCAACGAGUGGCGGACGGGUGAGUAACACGUAGGUAACCUGCCCAGAAGCGGGGGACAACAUUUGGAAACAGAUGCUAAUACCGCAUAACAACGUUGUUCGCAUGAACAACGCUUAAAAGAUGGCUUCUCGCUAUCACUUCUGGAUGGACCUGCGGUGCAUUAGCUUGUUGGUGGGGUAACGGCCUACCAAGGCGAUGAUGCAUAGCCGAGUUGAGAGACUGAUCGGCCACAAUGGGACUGAGACACGGCCCAUACUCCUACGGGAGGCAGCAGUAGGGAAUCUUCCACAAUGGGCGCAAGCCUGAUGGAGCAACACCGCGUGAGUGAAGAAGGGUUUCGGCUCGUAAAGCUCUGUUGUUAAAGAAGAACACGUAUGAGAGUAACUGUUCAUACGUUGACGGUAUUUAACCAGAAAGUCACGGCUAACUACGUGCCAGCAGCCGCGGUAAUACGUAGGUGGCAAGCGUUAUCCGGAUUUAUUGGGCGUAAAGAGAGUGCAGGCGGUUUUCUAAGUCUGAUGUGAAAGCCUUCGGCUUAACCGGAGAAGUGCAU
rnacentral:rRNA from 1 species